CUGUACAGGCCACUGCCUUG
rnacentral:miRNA from 1 species